UUCAACAGUCUAUUUCUUGCCAGAUGGUGUAGGUAACGUAGCCAGCUUGUAGAGGCAUAAUGCUUGUUUCAGAACUCAAAUUGGCAUCAGGGAGGAAAUGAUUAUGCAGUAGGAAACAGGACUUCUGACUUUUUUCAAAAGUAGGAAGAGAAUUAAGAAGAAGUGAGACAUGGAGCUAUGGUAAAAAUAUCCUGCACAUUGUAGAGGGGAUGGAAUUUGAUCGCGGAUAUUUUUCUCCUUAACAUGAUUGGAGUUUUGGAUCUCAUAUUUCUAUCUGUUGGUGUAUGGUAUUUAAGAGGGGAAACUUCUGUAUUCGCAAUUGCUUUUGGUUGCCUAAAACAUCGCAUGGUUCAAGGAUAUUUUGAAACGAUACUACGAAGUCUCCAAUCGUGAUAGUUGCAUACAACAUUGAAGAGGAAGAUCAGGCUCCGUCGUUAAUAGGUAGUUGCUAUUAGAGGCCUUACCUUCACUGAGUGCUACUGUCUCUUGAUAGGAAAUAAUGAGACAAGAAUGCUUGAAUAUGGAAUUUAUCACAUUCUUUCA